CCAAAGGCUCUUGCAGGGCUGCUGUUUAUUUUUCUGGCUCAAAGAGCAGAGCCACCAAUAUAAUAUAAAAUAGGUAAU
rfam:Nomascus leucogenys chromosome 18, whole genome shotgun sequence.